GAAUAUUGCGCAAUGGAGGAAACUCUGACGCAGCAACGCCGCGUGAAGGAAGAAGGCCUUCGGGUUGUAAACUUCUUUGAUCGGGGACGAAAGAUGACGGUACCCGAGGAACAAGCCACGGCUAACUACGUGCCAGCAGCCGCGGUAAUACGUAGGUGGCGAGCGUUGUCCGGAAUUACUGGGUGUAAAGGGCGUGUAGGCGGGGGAGCAAGUCAGAUGUGAAAUUCCGAGGCUUAACUUCGGCGCUGCAUCUGAAACUGUUUCUCUUGAGUGCUGGAGAGGAAAGUGGAAUUCCCAGUGUAGCGGUGAAAUGCGUAGAGAUUGGGAGGAACACCAGUGGCGAAGGCGGCUUUCUGGACAGUAACUGACGCUGAGGCGCGAAAGCGUGGGAAGCAAACA
rnacentral:rRNA from 1 species